rnacentral:rRNA from 1 species
GAGUUUGAUCGUGGCUCAGAUUGAACGCUGGCGGCAUGCCUUACACAUGCAAGUCGAACGGCAGCACGGGAGCUUGCUCCUGGUGGGCGAGUGGCGAACGGGUGAGUAAUGCAUCGGAACGUAUCCUGGAGUGGGGGGAUAACGUAGCGAAAGUUACGCUAAUACCGCAUAUUCUGUGAGCAGGAAAGCGGGGGGACCUUCGGGCCUCGCGCUCUUGGAGCGGCCGAUGUCGGAUUAGCUAGUUGGUGAGGUAAAGGCUCACCAAGGCGACGAUCCGUAGCAGGUCUGAGAGGAUGAUCUGCCACACUGGAACUGAGACACGGUCCAGACUCCUACGGGAGGCAGCAGUGGGGAAUUUUGGACAAUGGGGGCAACCCUGAUCCAGCCAUGCCGCGUGAGUGAAGAAGGCCUCGGUU